GUGAAGGUGUGUCGUGAGGCAUGCUGGAGGUAUCAGAAGUGCGAAUGCUGACAUAAGUAACGAUAAAGCGGGUGAAAAGCCCGCUCGCCGGAAGACCAAGGGUUCCUGUCCAACGUUAAUCGGGGCAGGGUGAGUCGACCCCUAAGGCGAGGCCGAAAGGCGUAGUCGAUGGGAAACGGGUUAAUAUUCCCGUACUUGGUGUUACUGCGAAGGGGGGACGGAGAAGGCUAUGUUGGCCGGGCGACGGUUGUCCCGGUUUAAGCGUGUAGGUGUGUGUUCCAGGUAAAUCCGGUUCACUUUAACACUGAGGCGUGACGACGAGGCACUACGGUGCUGAAGCAACAAAUGCCCUGCUUCCAGGAAAAGCCUCUAAGCAUCAGGUAACACGAAAUCGUACCCCAAACCGACACAGGUGGUCAGGUAGAGAAUACCAAGGCGCUUGAGAGAACUCGGGUGAAGGAACUAGGCAAAAUGGUGCCGUAACUUCGGGAGAAGGCACGCUGACACGUAGGUGAAGUGAUUUACUCAUGGAGCUGAAGUCAGUCGAAGAUACCAGCUGGCUGCAACUGUUUAUUAAAAACACAGCACUGUGCAAACACGAAAGUGGACGUAUACGGUGUGACGCCUGCCCGGUGCCGGAAGGUUAAUUGAUGGGGUCAGCGUAAGCGAAGCUCCUGAUCGAAGCCCCGGUAAACGGCGGCCGUAACUAUAACGGUCCUAAGGUAGCGAAAUUCCUUGUCGGGUAAGUUCCGACCUGCACGAAUGGCGUAAUGAUGGCCAGGCUGUCUCCACCCGAGACUCAGUGAAAUUGAACUCGCUGUGAAGAUGCAGUGUACCCGCGGCAAGACGGAAAGACCCCGUGAACCUUUACUAUAGCUUGACACUGAACAUUGAGCCUUGAUGUGUAGGAUAGGUGGGAGGCUUUGAAGUGUGGACGCCAGUCUGCAUGGAGCCGACCUUGAAAUACCACCCUUUAAUGUUUGAUGUUCUAACGUGGACCCGUAAUCCGGGUUGCGGACAGUGUCUGGUGGGUAGUUUGACUGGGGCGGUCUCCUCCUAAAGAGUAACGGAGGAGCACGAAGGUUGGCUAAUCCUGGUCGGACAUCAGGAGGUUAGUGCAAUGGCAUAAGCCAGCUUGACUGCGAGCGUGACGGCGCGAGCAGGUGCGAAAGCAGGUCAUAGUGAUCCGGUGGUUCUGAAUGGAAGGGCCAUCGCUCAACGGAUAAAAGGUACUCCGGGGAUAACAGGCUGAUACCGCCCAAGAGUUCAUAUCGACGGCGGUGUUUGGCACCUCGAUGUCGGCUCAUCACAUCCUGGGGCUGAAGUAGGUCCCAAGGGUAUGGCUGUUCGCCAUUUAAAGUGGUACGCGAGCUGGGUUUAGAACGUCGUGAGACAGUUCGGUCCCUAUCUGCCGUGGGCGCUGGAGAACUGAGGGGGGCUGCUCCUAGUACGAGAGGACCGGAGUGGACGCAUCACUGGUGUUCGGGUUGUCAUGCCAAUGGCACUGCCCGGUAGCUAAAUGCGGAAGAGAUAAGUGCUGAAAGCAUCUAAGCACGAAACUUGCCCCGAGAUGAGUUCUCCCUGAGACUUAGAGUCUCCUGAAGGAACGUUGAAGACGACGACGUUGAUAGGCCGGGUGUGUAAGCGCAGCGAUGCGUUGAGCUAACCGGUACUAAUGAACCGUGAGGCUUAACCUUACA
rnacentral:rRNA from 1 species